CGAGCAGAACGGCUUGUCGCCUGAUUGGAAUACAUCGGGAGGAAAGUCCGGGCAACGCAGAGCACCAUGCUUCCUAACGGGAAGGGUCCUGGCAACGGGACACAGAAAGUGCCACAGAAAAUAUACCGNNGAAAGUCCGGACACCACAGGGCAGGGAGGUCGCUAACGGCGACCGGGGGCGACCCCAGGGACAGGGCCACAGAAAACAGACCGCCCCGAAAGGGGUAAGGGUGAAAUGGCGGGGUAAGAGCCCACCGCUCUUCUGGCGACAGGAGAGGCAGGGAAAACCUCAUGGGUUGAAAGACCAAAUAGGUUAUGCAGGUGGCAACACCACAGGGCUGCUCGUUCUGAUGCAUAACGGGUAGGUCGAUAGAGGCCGGCGGCGACGUCGGUCCCAGAUAAAUGAUGAGCUAUUUGCAGACGUGUCUGCAGAAAAACAGAACCCGGCUUACGAUUCUGCUCAUUUU
rnacentral:RNase_P_RNA from 1 species